UGCCCCGCGGCCAAGAUGGCGGACCGGCGGCGGCAGCGCGCCUCGCAGGACAGCGAGGACAGCGACGGCUCGGCGGCCUCCGACAGCGCCGCGUCCGCGCCGGGCUCCCCGCGCUCCCCGCGCUCCCGCUCGGCCUCCGGGUCGCGGUCGCGUUCCCGCUCCCGGUCCGGCUCACCGCGGCCGCCGCACCGCGCCGCGGGGGCCUUGGGAGCCGGGCCGCGGGGUCGCGGGGCCGAGAGCGCCGGUGGGGCCGGGGGGAAGAGCGCGGCCGAGUCGGAGUGUGAAAGCGAGGAUGGCAUCGAAGGAGACGCCGUGCUCUCAGACUAUGAAAGCGCCGAGGACUCGGAGGCGGAGGAGGAGGAUUACAGCGAGGAAGAAAGCUCCAAGGUGGACUUGAAGCAGGACAGCACCGACUCCUGCGAGUCAGCAGCCAGAGCAGAGAAGGGCAGUGAGAAGCUGGAUGCCAAGGGAGCGGUGACGGGCGAGCGGCAGAGCGGGGACGGGCAGGAGAGCACGGAGCCUGUGGAGAAAAAAGUUGGGAAGAAGGUCCCCAAGCACCUGGACGACGAUGAGGAUCGGAAGAACCCCGCGUACAUCCCGCGCAAGGGGCUCUUCUUCGAGCACGACCUGCGAGGGCAGACGCAGGAGGAGGAGGUCAGGCCCAAGGGCCGUCAGCGGAAGCUGUGGAAGGACGAGGGGCGCUGGGAACACGACAAAUUCCGGGAGGACGAGCAGGCCCCCAAGACCAGGCAGGAGCUGAUUGCUCUGUACGGAUACGACAUCCGCUCAGCCCACAACCCUGACGACAUCAAGCCCAGGAGGAUGCGCAAACCACGGUUUGGGAGUCCCCCCCAGCGAGACCCCAACUGGUCCAGCGAGAGGCCCCCGAAGCCCCCGAGGCACCAGGGAGCCAAGAGCCCCUCGGCCCCCCCACGGCCCUUCACCAGCCGCAGCUCUGGCAGCACUGGCAGGAUGCCCCCCACCAGGAACUACCCCAGGAUGGGGGGCUACAAGGAGACCCGUCCAGGCUACCGGGCUUCGGAAGCAGGUGUCCCGCACAGAAACGGGGAACAAGCCAAGCAGGAGAGCGGCUACCGCGGGAAGUGGGCGGAGCAGAGCCCGCCGAGGGACAUGUCCCCCGAGCUGGAGGUGCCACAUAUCCAUGGCAGCCCCGGGAAGGAGGAGGGGGCUCUGGAAAACCAAGCCGUGGCUGCUGAUGCUGCGCAGCCGCCACCAGACAGACCAGUUGAGAAGAAAUCCUAUUCCCGGGCAAGAAGGACCAGAGUGAAGGCUGGGGACGCGGGGAAGCUGUCGGAGGAAGCGCCCGCUUCCGAGGGGCUGGCUCCUGUCAUUCCAAAACCCACACCUGCAGAGACCUCCCCCCCACCAGCCAAGAGCAACUGGGAGUCGCCAGUGGAAUCCAGUGUGGAUGGACUCGAGCAGGAGAUGACCCAGAUGAACCUGACGGAGCAGAACUGGACCCCGGGGCAGUCCCAGUUCAUCCCACCACGGGAGAUGAGGGGUAUUCCCAACCAUAUGCACGUGGGAACUGGGCCACCACCACAGUUCAACCGGAUGGAGGAGAUGGCAGUGCCGGGGGGCCGUGUCAAGCGUUACUCCUCACAGCGCCAGAGACCCCCCGUGCCAGAGCCCGCGCCCCCCAUGCACAUCAGCAUCAUGGAAGGGCACUACUAUGACCCACUACAAUUCCAGGGACCAAUCUACACCCACGGGGAGAACCCGGCCCCGCUGCCACCCCAAGGGAUGAUCGUGCAGCCGGAGAUGCACCUCCCUCAUCCAGGUUUACACCCCCACCAGACACCCCCCGCCAUGGCAAACCCCGGCCUGUACCCCCCGCCGGUGUCCAUGCCCCCGGGCCAGCCCCCGCCGCAGCAGCUGCUCACUCCGACCUACUUCUCCGCCCCUGGAGUGAUGAAUUUUGGGAAUCCUGGCUACCCCUACCCCCCCGGAGCUCUGCCCCCUCCGCCUCCUCCGCAUCUCUAUCCCAACACACAGGUUGCUGCCGAGCAGCGAGGAGGCAGAUUGGAUCGUGUCCGUGAGGAGACAGAUCAGAGCAGAUCCCUGAGGAGGCGGAUUGGAUCGGAUCCCUGUGAGGGUCAGACCAGAUCAGAUCCCUGCGCAGUCCCAGGUGUAUGGGGGGGUCACCUACUACAACACUGUCCAGCAGCAGGUGCAGCCCAAGCCUUCCCCACCCCGCCGGACGUCCCAGCCCGUGACCAUCAAACCACCCCCUCCGGAGCUUCUCUUUGCAGGUGGUAAGCAGGGCUCCAGUUAAUUUGAGUUACUUAAAUCUUUAAAACUAAAACCACGUAAAAAGACAGCAAAGGUGAAAAAUCAAAGGAGAGGAGCAACACGUAGGGAUGUGGCCACGGGAAUCCCAGCACCAGACUCGGCACCUCGGCGAGGAGGAAGCUGCUCCUUGGAAUGGCUCCUUCCCUGCGCGGAGGUGAGGCAGCGGGAUGAGACACCUGCACCUGCUCGGGGCCAGGCACUUCCCCCGUGGUCUGAGCGGUGCCUUCCCGAAAUCCAUCCCACUGCUGCCCACCCCCCUCCUCCCCCGCGCUGGGGCCGCCGAAGAACCAGCCCCCGAGUCGGUCCUUGGCCACACGUUCUCCCAACUUCUCCCCGUUACUAAACGUUCCCCGCUCCCUCCCCAGAUGUCAAACUCCGCUGGCUUGAUCGUGGUCUGUUUUUAUUUAAGGAAUGAAGCAGCUCCUUCAUUAAAGCUGAUUUGUUUCUUUUGGGUA